AGUAUAUUUUUAGACAAAAAAAAAAAAUUGAAACAUCUUUUCUCUUCAUCAGGAGUCGAGCGCAAUGUCUUUUUUCUUUUCCCAAAAUCACACAUCCAGACACCUUAUCUUCUUCUUCUUCUUCUUCUUCUUCUUCUUCUUCUUCUUCUUCUUCCUCCCCCUCGUUCAUAUUUAUUCUUCCUCCUUCACCAUUCUUCCUUUUAUUUACUCCAAACUCACCUCACAAACUCACCAUCCCAUAACUCUCCAUCAUUCAUUCGCAGAACACCUUCCUAACAAAAUAGAUUGAACCCUAAACAUAUUUUUCUCUCCAUUGUUCAAUGUCUUUCAUCACUCACUUGAAAUCGUAGAGUUUUAAUUUAUAAUAGCACUACAAUUUUAGAACCAAAAUCAAUUAAUUUGUUUCUAUAAAACGAUUGAAUCCCCCAAACUCAUCUGAAUGAGUGUUUCUACUUUCUAUGAUAAAAAAUUAGAAGGGAAAGCUUAUGGGUAUAAUUAUUUUAUUUUCCCCUUUCGUGUUAUAUGAAUAAAGGUUAUGUAAGUUAGUAUUCUUAUACUUUUACAAGGUAUGAUGUUUGAGGUUCUUUUUGUGUUUGAUUUAGUAGGUCGUGAGAAGGUUGGGUUUGGAGGGAGGGAAACCCGUGAGGCCAAUGCCAUUCCCAGAUCUAAUUUCCACGCUUUCCAAGAAUUUUCCUCUGUCUGAUAUUGUUUUCAUUGUAAGUGCUUUUGACCUGCUUAUGGAGUUUGAGACUGUCAUUGAGUCACUUGUUUCUCUCUUUGUUGAAAUACAAAUACUGUUUGCUUUAAUCACCGUUUAACUAUGGGAUGUUGUGGAGUAUGCUGAAUGUGAAACUACUGUAAAGGAAUUUCCUUCAAUAUAAAAAUGAAGUUGUUUCAAAUAUAUGUCUUAAAACUACUUGUUCAAUUAGCAUUGUCAUAGUUAUGAACUUUCUAGUGUCAUGCUAUUUUUGUAGUUCUGUCAUCAAAUACUAUUGUGAAACAAUUAAAAGCUUUUUUACCUUAACAUGUAUAAAUGUGUUUCAUACUUAUGUUUUCUCAAGUAUUCGGAGUUAAUAAGGUUGGAGAUGUUGUUUUUUGUACCUUGCAAUAUUUAUCCUUUGUAUUAUUCAAUCCAGAAGCAAUAGUAAUAUAGGUACAGGCGUAUAGGGGUGGACAAAACAUUACCAUCUGAUUAGAACCGACCGGUCCGAAAUCAAUUUUCAGUCACGGAUCGGAUUGUUUCGGUUUUCGGGUUACUGCGGUCUAAAUGUUUGGAUUUCAGCGGUUUAACUUGGUCGGGCUCGGUUGAUAAAAUCUAAUCCGUCGGAAUCCGAUCCGAACCGAUUAAAUUAUAUACUAAUAGCUAUUAUAAUUUUGGACCAUAGAAAUUAAGCCCAAAUAAAAAUCCAUAUAGAUGUUCAGAAGUUUAGGGUUUCUCAUUCUCACUUCCUUGUUUCUAUCCUCUCUGUGAUUUAGGUUUUUCGCCGCCGCCGCCGUCGUACUAUGAGCAUCCAUAUCUUCCCGUUCCAUAUUCUUGGUGUUACUACAUAAAUGUUAAAGUAUAACUCUGUUCAUGGUGGAAGCAUUUUGAAUUCAAGGUUAAGGGUGGUGCCAUGAAAGUUGUUAUUCAACAUCAUUCCUAGCAGAACUAGAGCUUCCAAGGUUAAGAGAGUUCAGAGAUUGAAGGUUUGUAUUUGUUACAGGAGUGGUAAAGAGAAACUUCUAAUUUUGAAGCUAAAGUGAAACUUCCCUUGAAAAGUCAGAUUUUAAGAGAACUUUUUGCAAAUAAAGCAUUGGAGGUUUGUUGUAGAGUGAAGGAUAUGAAAUAAUUCAAGGAAAUUGGUGGAUACACAUAUUUAGAUCACUUAUAAUUUGUAUUGGUCAAGACAUUAUAAAUGGGAAAAUCAAGAAAUGAUCUUUUGACAACAUCAAAUGAUAUGCUAGGAUCCUGUUCUGAAAUGGAAAAGAAAUUGUCACAGUUAGAUGAAGCAUUAAGAGAACCCAAACAUUGGACUGAAUAAAUAGUGUUAUUUAGAUUUGAUAAACAUUUUUAUUUGUCUAAUUUUUGAAUAAUAAAAGGUAGAUAACUUUGUUUUUCAGUGAAAGAAUUAAAUAUAAUAGUUUAAUCAAA